UACGUAGGGGGCAAGCGUUGUUCGGAAUUACUGGGCGUAAAGGGCUCGUAGGCGGCCAACUAAGUCAGACGUGAAAUCCCCAGGCUCAACCUGGGAACUGCGUCUGAUACUGGAUGGCUUGAAUCCGGGAGAGGGAUGCAGAAUUCCAGGUGUAGCGGUGAAAUGCGUAGAUAUCUGGAGGAAUACCGGUGGCGAAGGCGGCAUCCUGGACCGGCAUUGACGCUGAGGAGCGAAAGCCAGGGGAGCAAACGGG
rnacentral:rRNA from 1 species